rnacentral:rRNA from 1 species
AUUGAACGCUGGCGGCAUGCUUUACACAUGCAAGUCGAACGGCGGCGCGGGCUUCGGCCUGGCGGCGAGUGGCGAACGGGUGAGUAAUACAUCGGAACGUGCCCAGUAGUGGGGGAUAGCUCGGCGAAAGGCGGAUUAAUACCGCAUACGACCUGAGGGUGAAAGCGGGGGAUCUUCGGACCUCGCGCUAUUGGAGCGGCCUAUGGCAGAUUAGCUAGUUGGUGGGGUAAAGGCCUACCAAGGCGACGAUCUGUAGCUGGUCUGAGAGGACGACCAGCCACACUGGGACUGAGACACGGCCCAGACUCCUACGGGAGGCAGCAGUGGGGAAUGUUGGACAAUGGGCGAAAGCCUGAUCCAGCCAUGCCGCGUGUGUGAUGAAGGCCUUCGGGUUGUAAAGCACUUUUGGCGGGGACGAAAAGGACUGUGCCAAUACCACGGUUCGAUGACGGUACCCGCAGAAUAAGCACCGGCUAACUACGUG